GACGGAGGGUGCAAGCGUUGUUCGGAAUUACUGGGCGUAAAGGGCGCGUAGGCGGUCUGCUAAGUUCGGUGUGAAAGCCCCUGGCUCAACUGGGGAACUGCGCCGGAAACUGGCAGACUAGAGUACCGGAGAGGAGGGUGGAAUUCCUGGUGUAGCGGUGAAAUGCGCAGAUAUCAGGAGGAACACCGGUGGCGAAGGCGGUUCUCUGGGAAUGUACUGACGCUGAGGAGCGAAAGUGUGGGGAGCGAACAGG
rnacentral:rRNA from 1 species